UUCUAGUAGGCAGCUGGCAUCUACGC
rnacentral:piRNA from 1 species